GCUUUAUUGAAUUGGUCUCUGUUUGAUAAUCACCCACUUCCAGUCCAGGGCUACCAACAGAAACCUUUUUUUUUUUUUCCCCUGUGGUCAUCAAAUUUCAUUUUGUGUGGGUCUCCUGUAAAGAGGAUAGAAACAGUCUUGGCUGACCAGACCAGGUGGCAGAAAUUCCCGUGCUCCUGGUUUGUCCCAGCACUGUGUCAACACGACAAAUGACAAAGAGUAAGAUCAGCGCAGCGGCUGUGAGUAUAAUGGAGGAGGAGGAGGAGGAGGAGGAGGAGCGCUAGCCGGUCUGUACAAUUCCUUGGCACGCAAGGUGUUACUGCUGAGGAAGAAAUUCCCAGACGAUACCUGAUUCGGCAGAUCCUCUGCUGAGACGUGGAUUGCUCAGAGGUUUAUGUGCACCCUUUCUCCCACCGCCCGCUGGCUACUGCGGAAUGAACCAAGGAACAGGGGUGCUCUGGGUGUAAAGCGCCUUGGAGGAGCAGUAGCAGCAGGGAGGAUGCGGUUGGCCCCACGCUAAUGAAGUCUGGUGUUUGAAGGCAGCAAUUCCUCCUGCGAUCUGCUGGCAUUGUCACUUGACACUUCUCACCAGCUGCACAUGGAAGCAACACUGGAGAAUUAGCUUGCCGUUUUCUCUCGAGCAUCUGGGACCCUAUUGCUCUCCUUUCUAUGUGAAUCUCCCUUAGAAGCCAACAGGAGCCAACGAGAUGUCUGUGCACAGGCAGACUGCCUCCCCCACCACGUACACAUGCUUCCUGGAGAGGGGGAAAAGGCACAGAUUUACCUGACAUACCCCUAUGCUACACGGAAGAGGGCUACGGGGAAGAAAUAGGGGAAAAACAAGUGACACCCUGUCUAUUUAUCGAGGGUGAUGACAGUUCUGUUGCUACCAUCAAGAGAUCUGUAGUCGCAUUUAUGGGAUGUGGGUCUGGAACACAGCAUUGCCAUCUCUGCCUGGCCAGUUGCACAGCCUGAGGACAGGAGAUGAGGAGAGAAGAAAGGAUGGGAGAUACGGGGCUGCUCCCCACUGAACUGUUGUAUAUACUUAGGCAACCCAUGAGGGGGCCAGUCCCAGACCUUGCAUGCUGAAGUCAGAUCAACUCGAGAGAGAACCUCCUGUCCUGACUCUCCUUUCGCCUGGCCCUCAGCCGGGCCAGGUGGCACUGGGGCUGUGUGUUGGUGAGAAGCUACAGGUGUGAUGGCCUCUGAAGGCAAUGAGUGAGGAUGCCAGUGCUGUUGGCAGAGAUCAUCUCCAAUUUAAUUUAUGGGCUGCGCUUUAUGUAUAAAGCCAUGGCCACAGAUAUAAUGUAAUCUCAUCACUGUGUGUGUGCUGAGCACUGCUGUCAAUCAACAGUGCUUUGCAUCAGUACAUUUUCAAAUAAAUAUGUAUGUUCUCUCA
rnacentral:lncRNA from 1 species